GGCGCAGCUAGGGUUAGGCCUCUACCAUUCGGCAGUAUAAAAGGCUAAUGUUGUGCAACGUGAAGAAGUUCUUGGCACCCCGAACAUUUUACUUUUCAUCAGUUAUUGCUUUUAUUCGCCGCGUGUGGCAUCAAAAACACUUUACAUUUCCGUACUUUAAUUCCGUCGUGUUGUUACUUUUGAACAAGUUCGAAGGCUUGAAGCCUAGGUAUUACUUUAUCUAUUUCAGUAUUUAAUUUCGUUCAA
rnacentral:lncRNA from 1 species